rnacentral:rRNA from 1 species
AUUGAACGCUGGCGGCAUGCCUUACACAUGCAAGUCGAACGGUAACGGGCCUUCGGGUGCCGACGAGUGGCGAACGGGUGAGUAAUGUAUCGGAACGUACCUUUCAGUGGGGGAUAACGUAGCGAAAGUUACGCUAAUACCGCAUAUUCUGUGCGCAGGAAAGCAGGGGAUCGCAAGACCUUGCGCUGAUUGAGCGGCCGAUAUCAGAUUAGCUAGUUGGUGAGGUAAAGGCUCACCAAGGCGACGAUCUGUAGCGGGUCUGAGAGGAUGAUCCGCCACACUGGAACUGAGACACGGUCCAGACUCCUACGGGAGGCAGCAGUGGGGAAUUUUGGACAAUGGGGGCGAACCCUGAUCCAGCCAUGCCGCGUGAGUG